UUCAAUUUCAGAUUGGAGAAAGGGGAAGAUUGUUCAUACUACUGCUGGAAAUAAGAAACAUAAAUGCUUAACCACUUAACAUAGGCAGAAAGAUGAGAAAGACGAGGAAGAUUUUUCAUGAGACUUAAUGAAUGUGGUGAAAAUACCGUGUGGAAAGAUCAGGUAAAUAACAAUCUCUUUUUGAUUGAUCAUUCAUUCGUAUAUGUUUUUAGCCUCAAAACUAUAUUUAUACAAUAG
rnacentral:lncRNA from 1 species